CAUCUUCGUUAAGUAUUAUGGCUUAUGAGUGAUGGAUUAUGUAUGAGUGAUGUAUGUGUGCUAUUAUGUAGAAUUCACUGUUGUCAACACUGCUUACAUUACAUGAAUGAAAAUAACGUAAAUAAAUCUACAUAAACAUAAGUUUAAUCUAUUUUAUUUGUCCAUUAGUACUGUUGGUAAAUUAAGGAACAUUUGUAUGGGAUAAAAAGAGAGUUAACACAUCAUCAACAUGUAAAUGUAGAUUUAAGCACAUAAAUCUCAGAGGAAACUUGAAUCUUGUCUGAUGUUACAGGGACAGAUGAUCACACGUGUGUUUAUCCGGUGAUGAAGGAAUGCUGCCAUCAAAGGCUUUGAGUGAGGAUACUACAGAAAUGAAUUGAGGAUGGAGAGCCACAGCAGGUCCUGGAAAUGGUGUAGAGCCAUGGACGAGACGCUCCAUCACUCCUCCUUCCAAGUGACUUGAUCAAGGACACACUGGUGGUGAUGCUGCAGAGAUUGAACCAGCAACCUUCUGUUGACCAGCUCAGUGGUUUAGCCCACCACACCACAAAAUCAUGCUGAUGGAGAGCACAUGAAUGUUUGCAGCAGACACAGCAGCAGCCAGAUUGUCCUGCACAUCUUCUCCCACUCUUGCUUCAAGGUUGUGGGGUUCAGGGGUCCAUCAUCAUCAUCUUCCUCAUCCUUUGGAUCAACGAUGUCCCCAUUGAGAAGAGCAGCAGUGAGGGACAUGAUGGAUGAAGGUGUUCAUCAGAAUAAAGCUGCAGAAUGGGCACAGCUGUGUUGAGAUGGCAGUAGGAUUGUAAAUACGUGAUUGUUAGAUCAAUAAAUUUGAAUAAAGCUUUGUUUCAUGUGUUGUUGACUUGUA